AGACACCCAGACUGACUCCCUCCUGCAUGGCAGGCCUUGGGCAUGAACAAGCAGGGGUGAAACCUGUCAUUUCAAGCGUACAGUGUGCUGGCAAAUAUUCAUGAGCUGCCUCCUAAGUUUAAAAUACCCAUUUAGUAAAACCAGAUUGGAAGGAACACCCUGCAGGUGGCAAGAUGGAAAUAGGAUGAUGCUAAAAUAAUGCUAGAAGAAAGAGGAAAACUGAAGGACAAGCAAACUGCACUCGCUUGCGUCUCAGGCAGGGGAUAGAUGCUAUUGCUGGACACUUUUCCAUUCUCUCAUCGCUUCCUUCCUUGUUGCAGUUAUUUUAUGCCUAUGCUCAGCUCAGUUCACUACAGGCCUGAUGUAUAACACAAGUCACUUGCCCAAGGAUGGGAGUUUAAUGUCCAGAGCCAGCAGAUGCAGUACGAUGGAAAAAACCUGGAGGUUUUGUUCAAACUCGUUUUGGAGCUCUCCGAAUGUCAUGCACAUGCCAGCAUCAGACAACAGAACCUGUUACAGACCGUCCAGGAG
rnacentral:lncRNA from 1 species